rnacentral:lncRNA from 1 species
UGCAACUAUUUUGUGGUGCAUCAGUUGGGAAACUACUGACCACCCUCUAGGCUUCAAUUGCGAAUUUGAGCCCGAGAUAUAGAGCAAGAAUGAGUUGAAGACGUUGAGGGUAAAGGUUUCCACCUCUGUUAACAUGCUAACCAUGCCACUGUCUCAUGGUCUUUGUCACAUUGUUUUUGCAUUCCCUUCAAGCUCCCCAUAGCCUUAUAGGUUUCUUUCUUAAUCAUCUUUCUUGAGGCUAAUAAUAUCUUAACCUCUUCUUCAACUCCACAUCUUGUCCAAAUGAUUGAAAAAGUUCUCAUGUGAAUUCCUUUGUUUGCAGCAAGGCAUCCUUAGCAGUGCUGCAGAUGUCCAAGAGCCUAAGAGAACCAUCCAGCAAGGCGUCCUUGUGCUAAUGUUCUUUGGGUGAGAGGUGAGAAGCAACUUUUCAACACAAUCAUGCAAAUCCUGAGGGCCAGUUAGAUUGUGGUUUAUUGAUGAGGACUGUGAUGAUGCUUCUUCUGAGACCCUUAUUCUGCAUAAGUUCUCUUCAACUGUGGGAGGAGAGGAUGUUGUCUGGAAGGCCAACUGUUGGAGCGAACAUGAUAGGCAGCCAUUUUUACCUACAAAAAGAGAAGGCAUAGAAAGUGAAUAUUGCUAAUUUCCUGUUUGCUUUCCUUCUGUUCUUUGCAUACCUUCAAUGCAUAUAUUAUAGGUUAAGAGAGACACAAGGAAUCUCUUCCACUUCAAUUAUGGAUCAUUAGUAGAAAAAUAUUGAUUCGGAUCUAUAUCCUAUCUCAGCAAUGUUUAUUUAUGCUUGUCUCCCCCUCAGCAGACCCCCAACUCGUCAUCACAUUACUAAAAACUCCUAGAAUCAAUCGUGUUGGUCCUAUAUAAUAUAGGAACAUUGCACGAGUGGCUGAAUAAUAUGCGUACGAAAUGACAUUAUGAUAAUCCUCAAUACUAAUUCAAACAUUUAGAGUGCUCAUCAGAUUGCUGUGCAGUGGGCAGGCAAGAUCUUCAUAAACGGGAUUACUUGUCUUCCUCUAAAAUAUCAAAACUGCAAAUAGCAUAUGAAAUGAAUUAUUAGUUGGCUAGGUGAAUAAGACUUUUUCUUCAAACAGAUGAAGGGCCAGGCUACUUCUUAACUGUGCAAGUGUCAUUAAUUUGUUUCUGGUAAGUAGUUGAUCAUUUGCUUGGAGAGAACUAGCAUCUUAGACCAUGUGGGAUCUGAGUUCACCAAGUGCAACAGAUCAUACACGGGAGAGAGAAGACUGUGUAUUUAUCGUCAAGAUUUACUUAUUAUUUAUCAAUUAAAACUUAAACUUACCAUGCUUGUAAUUUAUCUAAUCUGAACUCACACAUCGUCUGUGAUUUUUUUUUUUUUUUGAAAUAUAAAGCAUCUAUGGUUAUUCUUAACUAGAUGGUCGAAUACUUGAUGGUUGAAUUUUGUUUCUUUACCAACUGAAUGUAGAAUGAGAUAUUAGCCGUAACAUUUGCACAAACGAAUGUUACUGAGAGAGAAGAAAGACAAGAUAAUAGAAAAGAGAAUUUAUUGAAAAUAGUAUUUAACUGUAGUAUAAUAUUAUUACAUGUGUAAUUUCUCUAUGUACAGAUCCCAAAAUUGAGUAUGGUUAAGUCUUGACUCUCUUGCUAGGCUAGUGAUUGAAGAUAUUGAGGAAGGAAACUCUAGUUUUAAUCAAUCGUCUGUACAGGCAUUCAAGACCAUCUUCAAGUUCUUGAAUGUACUGCUCCAAAUCUUUUAGCUGGUUUUGUACAUUCUCAAGAAACAUAUGUUUAUCACGUCUGCUUUCCUUGUGACCGUAGAGAGAUUCCAAUGCGCCAUCUGCCUGCAUAAAUUUGUCAUUGCCUAAAACUUCUUCAGAUGCCACUCUUCUGUGGUGCAUCACUUUCGAAACCAAUGACCAACCACUUUUCUUUUUUUGCAGAUUAGACCCUGAGAUAAGAGACAAUAGGGAUUUGAGAGCAGCGGCAGUUACUGCUUCAACUUCUCUUAGCAUACUUACUACAGCCAGAGCUUCAUGGUCUUUGUUGAUGGGCGAGAUACUGCAUUUCUUUUCCACACCCUUCAAGUUUCCCAAAGCCUUUUGGAUUGCCUUCUUCACAAUUUUCCUGGAGGCUAAAUAUUUCUUAAUAUCUGUUUCAUCCCCACAUCUUCUCCGCAUACUUGAUUGAAGUUCACGUGUGCAUUCCUUUGUUUGCAGCAACACAUCCUUAGCAGAGCUACACGCAUCUAAGAGCCUGAGAGAUCCAUCCAGUA